GUGGAUCUAAUGAUGGACCCUGGGAGGGCUCACACCAAGGAGUACUUUCUAGAACUUCUGCUACCAGUGUCCUCGUCCACACAGUGAGCUACAGCCACACUCUGCCUUGGCAGGAUACCCUCCAGCACUAUCAGGAGCAAUCCAUUCCCGGAAGGUCCGGACGGACAGUCAUCCUGGUCUGGCUGAAUCCACAUGCACACCUGUGCUCUCACGCAUCUUCUCUUCACAAUGUUCACCAGCCAGGCAGAGUGAGCUCUACUCAGCAUACUCCUCAAAUGCUGUUUGGAUGGUGCUGUAAAAAUGACACGCACUGUUGUUCGUUUCACCUGUUCUCAGCACUGAGCAUUGUGGAAAUUACUGUUUCUGGAGACAACAUCUGUUCUUAUUAAAGAGAAGUCCGGUGUUCUCUGGGGCCAGCUAGGUGUUCCAUUAAAUGUGAUCCAUGCUGCAAGUUCAAGGUAUGACCUAGAGUCAAGAUGAAAGAUUGUGUACAGUCUAUGAAAUAUCUGUGGUUCUCACCACUCCUAGUUACUAAGCACUGAUGUUAUCUAACCCUUUGUGGCAUAUCUGUUGGACUUUUAAAUCUUUCUAGAAGAUAAUCUCCUUGGUGUGCAAUACUAUGCUGGUAGAAUUGUUGGAUUUUGACUCACUGCAUAUCUGCAAAGCUGACUUGAGGGCUCCUCAAAGAUGUGGAAACUAGUGCAAACAUGCUUGGAUAUUUGCAAGAAGUAAGCAAGAAGUCGGCCAUCGCAAGGAAAGGAUGGGCAUAACACUGAAGCUAUGAACACUUAAAAUGUUUCUUGUGAUAAACAAGACAGAAAAUGUCUAACACAAUUGAAAAUGUCUAACACUAAUUUCCAAAGAAAUGAGUGAUAAGCUAGAUGCCUUUCCAGAUGCCUUAGCAAAGAAAAUCAUUAUUAAAAUAUUGUAUAAAUUCCCAAAGCUGAAACAAGCCUAAGAGGAAUAUAAGUUACCUUAGGAAAGAGAACGACUCUCUUCUGUCUACUCUCAGUAACUCAUGCCAUCUCUUCACAUCUACAUCAUUCUCUGGCUUUCUGUAUACCCACACUAAAAUGGUAGCCACUAAGCUCAUGUGAAUAUUUAGACAUAAAUGUAAAUUAAUUAAAAUUAAAUGAAAUUUAAAUGGUUCUGAAGAACCUAGGGUCAGGACAGGAAUAAAGACACAGACAUGGAGA